rnacentral:rRNA from 1 species
AGUGAACGCUGGCUGUAGGCCUAACACAUGCAAGUCUAACGGCAGCACAGUAAGAGCUUGCUCUUACGGGUGGCGAGUGGCGGACGGGUGAGGAUUACAUCGGAAUCUACUUUUUCGUGGGGGAUAACGUAGGGAAACUUACGCUAAUACCGCAUACGACCUACGGGUGAAAGCAGGGGAUCUUCGGACCUUGCGCGAUUGUAUGAGCCGAUGUCGGAUUAGCUAGUUGGCGGGGUAAAGGCCCACCAAGGCGACGAUCCGUAGCUGGUCUGAGAGGAUGAUCAGCCACACUGGAACUGAGACACGGUCCAGACUCCUACGGGAGGCAGCAGUGGGGAAUAUUGGACAAUGGGCGCAAGCCUGAUCCAGCCAUACCGCGUGGGUGAAGAAGGCCUUCGGGUUGUAAAGCCCUUUUGUUGGGAAAGAAAAGCAGCAGGUUAAUACCCCGCUGUUCUGACGGUACACAAAGAAUAAGCACCGGCUAACUUCGUG